UUCCGGUUGAUCCUGCCAGACCUGACUGCUAUCGGAUUGAUACUAAGCCAUGCGAGUCUUUGUAGUAAUACAAGGCAGACGGCUCAGUAACACGUAGUCAACCUACCCUAUGGACGAGAAUAAUCUCGGGAAGCUGAGCAUAAUUCUUGAUAGAUCAUAAUGCCUGGAAUGGUUUAUGGUUAAAAUGAUUCGUCGCCAUAGGAUGGGACUGCGGCCUAUCAGCUUGUUGGUGAGGUAAUGGCCCACCAAGGCGAUUACAGGUACGGGCUCUGAGAGGAGAAGCCCGGAGAUGGGUACUGAGACACGGACCCAGGCCCUAUGGGGCGCAGCAGGCGAGAAAACUUUGCAAUGUGCGAAAGCACGACAAGGUUAAUCCGAGUGAUUUCUGCUAAAGAAAUCUUUUGCCAGUCGUAAAACCGCUGGUGAAUAAGGGGUGGGCAAGUUCUGGUGCCAGCAGCCGCGGUAAU
rnacentral:rRNA from 1 species